CAAGCUACCUUGCUAUGACUUUUGAGAUGUUACUCAGAUGGGUUAGUCGAAACUAAUUACACCUAAAAAAAGCAGUUAAAUACCUAGUUUAAAUAUAAUUUUAUUAUAAUUUAAAGAAUAACUACACUAAUUAUUCAAAUAAAUGAAUAAUUAAAUCAAUUUUCUUUUCAUUUAUUUAUUGAACCUCUGAUUUUUCUUACCUUUUUUAAAUAAGCUUUUUAAGGUUAAGAGGAUUUAUUAAGUUUAUUUAAAUAAUAAAAAUACUCCUUACUACUAAGGCCAACCAAAGGUAGGCAAGAAAGUAGUAAAUAAGUAAAUAAAUAGAAAUAGAUAUAUAGAUAAUAAACCAAUAUUUUUAUUAUUUAUAAUGUUUUACUUUAGUUAAAGAUAUACUUCGCGGCGCUUUCCCCCAAGCUGAAUUUCUCCCCAGCGACAGACGGUUAG
rnacentral:rRNA from 1 species